UGAAGGAAGCCUUGCAGUACAUUACAUGC
rnacentral:piRNA from 1 species